rnacentral:hammerhead_ribozyme from 1 species
AUCCACCUGAUGAGUCCCAAAUAGGACGGAAUAGCCAUCUUGGAU